GGCUCUUUGAGGGAUUUGGCCGCAGCCACACGCGCUCCUAGUCGCCGGACUGGAGCUGAUGGAGAGUGGCUGUUGCUGCUGCGGGCUCUCAUCAAUGCAGCCGUUCGCGGAUGCGCGCAGCAGCUGAGUGCUUUAGCUGUCAGCUGCUGGCCGCAGGGAACGGGAUCCCUAAUGCAACUCUGCGCAUGCGCUCGCUCGCCUCUUGCAGACCGUGGUGUGCGCGCGGCUGAGGGGCGGGGAAACAGCCUCCCCAAAAGCUGGACCAGGAGGAGGCCUGGACCUCCUGACUGCUCAGCAUGGGUUACCCAGACCGCGUCCCCCACCCCUGGGCAUAAACUCUGAAGCCAGCAUGAACGCUAAGGGCUGAAUCAGAGCUGCAGCUGCCAGCCUACAGCACAGCCACAGCAGUAUCGGAUCCUUAACCCACUGAGCAGACCAGGGAUCAAACCUGUGUCCUCCUGGAUACUAGUCAGGUUCAUAACCCGUUGAACCACACUGGAAACUCCAGGAAGCUCCUUUAGGCCACUUCAUAGAAGGGAGUCCUAGUAUUGCUGUCCUCUGUGAGGACUGUCAUGCAAACAGAAACACUCAAAAACACAACUCACCCUUGAAUUAAAGAUUUAUUUGGGUUAAAAAGUACCUUUUAAAAAACGCAGGCCCCUCUGGGCAGGGUUCAUGCAUGCUGUAUUCCUAACGCUUAGUUAGCUAAGAAUAGCACUGAGAAUCGGGUGAGAUUGAGAGAAGAGUCAGCUGUUGGACUUUAUGUGAGAUUUGCACAUUUCAGCAGGAAGAGUAGAGAGCGUGGUGCCAGGAACAGGAUAGGAGAGCAGGUUGUCUGGAAAGGGUCGGGGCACAUCAGCAUUGUAUUUCUUUGUCCGUGCCCCAGCUUUAUAGAGGUAUACGUAUGACAAAUACAAACUAUAUAUAUUUGUAUUUGUAAGGUGCACCAUGUGAUAUUUUGAUGUAUAUUGUAUAUAUUGUGAAAUGUUUACCGCAGUGAAGCUGAUUAACAUGGCCAUCACUGAAGUCCUUCUCAGAUAGGACUCGACCUCAGCCACCCCUCAGAUUGGGACUUGAACCCAAGAUCCCUGACUAAGGAGGGAACUCAAACCCCUGUCUUUUAAGUGAAACCACUCACCUGGUGGCUGGACUUACUGAAGCUCAGGUUCUCUAGUUUCAGUGUGGAAAGAAUUCAGCAUGAGGCAACGUGGCAGGCAGAGUAGGCUUAUUAGCAUCGGAUGCUUGUGAGAACCACAGGUUCCCCCCCCCGCCCCCCGAGAUCAAAGAGGGCUACAUUUUUACAAUCAAAGGAACAAUGGCGAGUGAGCAUUCUUGGGUAGAUAUUAAGACUUACCUCAUCAGUUCCUUCUUUAACCCUAUAUGGCCUAACCAGGACCAUCAUAGCUAUUAAAUCGCAUGUACGCCAAGUGUGGUACACUAAAAUAAGGUAAUUCACCUCAAGUUUCUCUGUAAGGUCCCCUACCAUGGAGUUUCUUUCCCCUUUCCCCUGUAUUCCUAUCUUGGCUACAUGCAGAAAUGCUGCUCUUCGAGGACCGCUAACUCCCUGACUUUGCAUAAGAAGAUGCAGACCCCACAUCUAUUGUCUUGUGCUUUAACUAUCGGGAUGUGUGGGCUUGGGUGUGCCUGGCACUCUGAUCCUCCUUUAAGGUAGUGCAGAUUGUUGCUAGGUUACUGGAUUCUUUUCUUGAGUGGUCAUUAGCUUACAAAGGUCUCCCAAAUUCUUAAAAUUCCCUUUCUAUCUUUAAUCCCCUAUUGGGAUUUCUCAACUAUUUAAUUAUCCUGCUCUAUCCCUAUCAACCUCACAUGGUUACCAUUGUGUGUGUCUGAUGAGAACAUUUGAGACCCACUGUCUUAGCAGAUUUCAGGGAUAUAAUACAUUAUUGUUAAUGACAGUCUCACCAGGCUGUAUGUUAGGUCUUCACAUCCUGUAACUGAGUUUGGGCCCUUUGACCAACAUCUCCCCAUUUCCCUCAACCACCACCCUACUCUCUGUUUCUGUGAAUUUAACUUUUUGGGGUUUUUUUGGCCAUCCCCAUGGUAUGCAAAAGUUCCCCAGGCCAGGGAUCAAACCUGAGUCACAGCAGUGACAAUGAUGAAUCCUUAACCAGUAAGCUGCCAGGGAAUUCUGAAUUUAAUUUUUCUAGAUUCCAUAUCAAGUAGAUCGUUAGCAGUAUUUGCCUUUCUGUGUCUGACUGAUUUCAUGGAACAUAUAGUCCUCUGGGUAGGGCGAGUUCGUGUUGAUGAGGGGCAGGGAUGCAGGAUGUGGGAUAGUGGAUGGGAGGUUGCACUUACAGAAUGGGACUGACCUGGAGAGAGCUUUAGUUCAGUGCUUUGAUCCUAGCCAGACAGACAUGACUUUGACCAGAUGAUCUCUGAACUGGCAAUUUGAUCCCCUGAAGGGGCCAUGUGACAGGAUGUGACGGCGCCUGUGUGUGUAGGUGGUUUCCUGAUGGCAUGUUACAAGAAAGCACCACGGGUGGUGUUUUGACUGCCCGGAGGGCUCGAGUGCUGUGAAUGUACCCAGGCAGUCCCUGGGCUUAUCACUUAACUGACUCUUAUCUCUGAG